CAGUCUUCAGUCUUCACCCAAAGACAUAAAAUUGUUAUUUGACCUAAACUACUAUUUUACUCCUUUCAAUCUACGCUAGGCCAAGAUGAAACGGGUAUGACGUGUUGGGAACAGUAAGCCUUCUUCUUCUCACAACUCUCUGUCUUCUGUAUUAUACUAAAAGCAGAGCUGAGCUUCGAGCAAGAUGAAUGGGCAAGACAUACUUUGGCGAUUUUAGCCUUCUACUUCCAGAAUUGACUGCUUUUUAUGUUGGUCAGUUUUAGUUGUUGGCAAUCGAUGAACACAGAAUUGCAGUUCAAGGCUUUCUGUGGAGUAUCAAUUCGUUUGACCAAUGGAGAGUUGAUCUAGGAACAGUUUUAUCUUCAGCUCUUCAUCUUCCUCUGAAUCUAAAAGUAGCUGCUGAAGCUGAGAAUUUACUAACAAAGUCUAUGUCCACUCUAGACACUUUUUGGCUUAAGGGAAAUGCCAAGUUCUUGCUCGGAAACAACAAACCAAACAAUCUAUAGCUGAUAUGAGCCUUUUGUGAGAAUUUUAUCAUUGAGCUUAUCAAAGGAAUAAAUUAGAUUUACAUUGUCAGACUUUGUGUUUUCGUU